GCUUACGGCCAUACCACCCUGUCUGCACCUGAUCUCGGAAGCUAAGCAGGGUCGCGCCUGGUUAGUACUUGGAUGGGAGACCGCCUCUGAAUAUCAGGUGCUGUAAGCU
rnacentral:rRNA from 1 species